GAGUUUGAUCCUGGCUCAGGAUGAACGCUGGCGGCGUGCUUAACACAUGCAAGUCGAACGAAGCACUCAGGAGCGAUUUCGGUCAAUCCUGUUUGACUGAGUGGCGGACGGGUGAGUAACGCGUGAGUAACCUACCUCGCAGUGGGGAAUAACAGUUGGAAACGACUGCUAAUACCACAUAAUGCAGAGAGACCGCAUGAUCUUUCUGCCAAAGAUUUAUCGCUGUGAGAUGGACUCGCGUCUGAUUAGCUAGUUGGUGAGGUAACGGCUCACCAAGGCGACGAUCAGUAGCCGGACUGAGAGGUUGACCGGCCACAUUGGGACUGAGACACGGCCCAGACUCCUACGGGAGGCAGCAGUGGGGAAUAUUGGGCAAAUGGGCGCGAAAGCCUGACCCAGCAACGCCG
rnacentral:rRNA from 1 species